GAGGUAAUGACUGGAAUGCAUAUCAGUAUCCACAGAACAGAAUGGAUGUAAUAUUCUGCUCGAAGCUUUUUUUAAAACCUUGCAAGGAUUCUACUGUAUUCUGGAUGUCCACAAAUAACAAAGAUGGCUUUUCAUCUAAUUCUGGAUCCCUGAGAGAAACAAUGAUUCAAACCUGUUACAUCUGGGCUUCUCUAGGCCACCCGGAUAGACUGCUAUUUCGGUGUGCUUGGAAAUAACUGGAUUCUACUUUCUAUCAUUGAGUAUCCACAAAACCAUGUUUGUCCCUGAGGAAGCCAUACGGCGAAACAUGUAGGAUUAAGAUGUGGGAACAACUAUAGAAGCUGCAAUAACACAUCUUGAAUGACCAUAAAGCAGUUAAUGUAUUGUAUAUAAAUU